CUUGGUCAUUUAGAGGAAGUAAAAGUCGUAACAAGGUCUCCGUUGGUGAACCAGCGGAGGGAUCAUUACCGAGUUUACAACUCCCAAACCCCUGUGAACAUACCUUAAUGUUGCCUCGGCGGAUCAGCCCGCGCCCCGUAAAACGGGACGGCCCGCCAGAGGACCCAAACUCUAAUGUUUCUUAUUGUAACUUCUGAGUAAAACAAACAAAUAAAUCAAAACUUUCAACAACGGAUCUCUUGGUUCUGGCAUCGAUGAAGAACGCAGCAAAAUGCGAUAAGUAAUGUGAAUUGCAGAAUUCAGUGAAUCAUCGAAUCUUUGAACGCACAUUGCGCCCGCUGGUAUUCCGGCGGGCAUGCCUGUUCGAGCGUCAUUUCAACCCUCAAGCCCCCGGGUUUGGUGUUGGGGAUCGGCUCUGCCCUUCUGGGCGGUGCCGCCCCCGAAAUACAUUGGCGGUCUCGCUGCAGCCUCCAUUGCGUAGUAGCUAACACCUCGCAACUGGAACGCGGCGCGGCCAUGCCGUAAAACCCCAACUUCUGAAUGUUGACCUCGGAUCUGGUAGGAAUACCCGCUGAACUUAAGCAUAUCAAUAAGCGGAGGA
rnacentral:misc_RNA from 1 species